GCCCGCCAAGCUCAGCAGGUUGAGCGCGCCUCUGAAACGGGCGAGGUCGCUGGUUCGAUCCCAGCGGCGGGCAC
rnacentral:tRNA from 1 species